ACUAGCUAGGCAGAGACGGACGGAGAGGGAGAGGUUCAAUUCCGGCCUUCUAGUAGCACCCACGGGAUCGGAGAGUACAACAAACCCUCAGCUGGCCUAUAAAAAACAAGCAGGGGGGUGGAAUCCAUUUCCAUUCCGAGCUUGCGGCAGCCAGCUGCCAGGUUUUGGCUCCCUCCUCGCCAUGGAGAUAGAUAAGAAAGAGAGAGAGAGAGAUAGACGGUGGCUGUGCAUGGUGGAGAAGCAGGGCACGUGCAUUACCAUCCAAUGCCGAUCCAUGCUCCUCCUCCUCCUGGCUGCUCAUCAACCUUUAUGGAUGGAUGCAUGGAUCCAUGGAUGGAUGGUUCUUCAUGUGCCCAUCUUCUCCACCGAGCACAAACUGUCUCGGCAUGCCUCAGCUCGCCAGGUGGUAAUAAGCCUCAUCACCGGAGUGAGGUGCAGACGGCGAUUCCUCCCAUCAGCGGUUCUCACUUUGCAAGCUAAGAUCCAUGCUCGUAUCUUCGAUGUUCUUCGAAAAUGCAGGCGAUCACCGGAAUAUGCUUCUUCCAUGCCGAUCUCAACUAUGUGAAAUUUGUACAUAUUUAGAUUUGGGGGGGGGGGGGGGUAUUGUCGGCUGGAAUGGUAUGAUUGCUCUCAAAAUUUAGUCAUGCUCGGUUGAAUUGCUUGCGAAUGGCAUGGCGUUGGACUCUCCCGUUCGCCUGUCUCAGAUAUCAGGAGCCUCAUUUUAUCGUUGAUCGAUAUGGUGUCAGCAUCAACGAGCUGACGGGAACGCGCACAACAUGACAUAUAUCCUAUGCGUUUCUGCCGUACAAACAACAGUAUCUGUGAAAGGAACAAUCACGGUGCCGUUGCUAUCCUUCCCUCCAUGAAUAGUACAUCAUUGCAGAAAAAGUGGAAGUAAUCAUCCUGCUGAUAUCCUGCGUUGCCAUUGCUUCUAUCUUAGCUGAAAGGAGUGGUUUCCCAACACUGAACAUUGAUGUCAUAGUCUUCAUCUUCAGAGGAGGCAGGGUGCAUGGCAAAGGCGAUCAAAGAUGCAAAGCUUUGAGCAGUUCGCAGCACUUAUCUGAAUUUCAACAGUACAACAUGAUUGUCCAUACAUGCAUGCACAUUUCAGCGGGGUCAGAUAAACUCCGGAAGUCUACUUUUGGAUGCUCUGUAGGGGUGCAAGGUGAUCCUUAAGUGCAGCUCCAACCCUCUUUAGUUCAAAAUAUUGUAUUAAUUCUUCAAAUUGAGAUCUUGUUUUGAAAAGUUAGUAUAAAAUUUUGAAUUAUAGAGGGUUGAAGAGGCACCUGAGGGUCACCAAUUGACACCCCUAAUGCUCUGCUCAGAAGCGCUUUUGCGCUCUUAGAAAUGAAAACUGCACAAAUCCUGAAGCCAA